UUAUGUCCACGUCUUGGAAACCCAACCUCAAAUCCUUCAAACAUUUACCUUUUUUGGAUCAAACCCUCUCUGUUCCCUCAAACAUUUUUCAAAUUUAUACCCUUCACUUUGUUUUGGAGGAGAAAAUCAAAAUACAUAACUACAUAGCCAUCAUCAUUGAUUCAUUUGUUGUUGUGACUACUUAAAUAUAUUCGUGAUUUGUGUCGAGUGCAGAUCAGAAGGAGGAUGUAACCCCCAUCCUGCAAUGUCAGACAUUGAAAGAGCUUUCUAGCUAUAUUGAAAAUGACACUAGGUCAUACGAUACGACCAAGUCAAAACACCUCAAAUCUUUGUUGUUAAUUACCAAUUUGUCUUCACUAAGAUCAUGUUAAACACACUUAGGUUUAUCAAAUAAUGCAGCACUGUACAUGAACAGUAUAAGAUGACAGCUGAAUGAUUUCAGUUUUGAUGAGAAAUAAAAGUGAAUAUAA
rnacentral:lncRNA from 1 species